rnacentral:lncRNA from 1 species
GUUUGUCUGUUUGUCCUUUUCAUUUUUAGCCAUGGCGUUGUCAGUUUAUUUCGAUUUAUGAGUUUGACUGCCCCUCUGGUAUCUUUCGUCCCUUCUUUUUUUUUCUUUUUUUUUUUGGCUGUUCGGUAAACGCUCCGUUUUGAUGGCCUUACUUUUACCUAUGAUUGUUAACUUUUUUUAUAUUGUGACUUAGAAGGAGAUUUGCCUCAUUGGCACUCACACCUAAUCUUCUUUCGUAUAAUCAAAGCAUAACAUAUUGUAAUGUUGUAAAAUAUAACAUAUCAGAGGGCAUAAUUAAAUAACUUUAUUUUUUGUAUAUCAUCAAAUAACUUGUAUCUACUAUUUUCUGUCAAUUCAAAGUUUACUAUCAACAACAGUCGCUGAUAUAUUAUAAACAAAACUUAAUUUCUAGUAUAUUUAUGUUCAUUCAAUACAGAAAUUGUGUAAUAGAUCAUUUCGAGCUAUUUUGAACGGAGACAAUAUAAAAAGAAUAUACACAUGUGGUAUGAUUGCCAGUCAAGGUCGUUAAACACUUCCAUAUAUAUAUAUGUAUGAUUGCCAAUGAGACAACUUUCCACAAGAGAUAAAAUGACACAGAAACUAUUAAACCAUAUGUCACCGUACGUCAUUUAACCAUGAGAAAAGAAACCAUGGUAUAAAUGAAGCGAUAUGUCUACUCUACUAGAUGAAGGAAC